UGUUACCUACGGGAGGCAGCAGUGAGGAAUAUUGGUCAAUGGGCGGGAGCCUGAACCAGCCACGCCGCGUGAGGGAAGAAGGUACAGCGUAUCGUAAACCUCUUUUGUCAGGGAACAAAGGCGGGGACUAGUCCCCGGAUGAGGGUACCUGAAGAAAAAGCAUCGGCUAACUACGUGCCAGCAGCCGCGGUAAUACGUAGGGGGCAAGCGUUAUCCGGAUUCACUGGGCGUAAAGGGAGCGCAGGCGGCACGGCAAGUCUGGUGUGAAAACCCGGGGCUCAACCCCGGGACUGCAUUGGAAACUG
rnacentral:rRNA from 1 species